AGAAUGAACGCUGGCGGCGCGCCUAAUACAUGCAAGUCGAGCGAGAAGACGUAGCAAUACGUUUGUAAAGCGGCGAACGGGUGAGGAAUACAUGGGUAACCUACCCUCGAGUGGGGAAUAACUAGCCGAAAGGUUAGCUAAUACCGCGUAUGCUCCUUGGACUUCGGUUCAGGGAGGAAAGCGAUACCGUGGGUAUCGCGCUCUUGGUUGGGCUCAUGUCCUAUCAGCUUGUUGGUGAGGUAACGGCUCACCAAGGCUUCGACGGGUAGCUGGUCUGAGAGGACGAUCAGCCACACUGGCACUGCGACACGGGCCAGACUCCUACGGGAGCAGCAGUAAGGAAUAUUGCGCAAGUGGGACGAAAGCCUGACGCGAGCGACGCCGCGGUGGGGAUGAAGGUCUUCGGAUUCGUAACCCCGUUUCGGGAGGAAGAGUGGAACGAGCAAGUCGUUCGGACGUACCUCCGAGAGCAGCCACGCUAACUCGUGCCAGCAGCCG
rnacentral:rRNA from 1 species